rnacentral:lncRNA from 1 species
GAGAGCAGAAGGACCGAUGGCACCAGUCAGAGUAAUGCCACGCAGGGGCUUGAACAUGAGUGGAGAUGCUUAACCCGUCAGUUUGGUUCACAGCACAAACACUUGUGCUUGUCCUGGUGCAAGAGGGGUUUGGGUAACAGACAGCUCUGAGUUAGUUGUGCUUGGAAUCUAUGAGGGGCAGGAGACUGUGCCCUUUCAAAGUAAAGAAUAUUAUAAUAUAUAUAUUAUUAUAACAAUAUAAUAUAAGUAGUGCCCUUUCUAGAUAGUGGCUAAGGGUUGAAAAGGAUUCUGCUACCUUCAAAAAAGCGCCCUGAUGCUAUGUGACUUGUGAUGUGUGCAGGACUGACUGCUGUGGGCAGUGCGUGUGGAUCAACGGGGUAACACUGCCAAAGUCCAUGUGAGCUUUGAGGCUCCACUUGCCUGGGGCAAAACAACCCAGCUUGGAUGGUGGCCAUCAGAGUUGCGGUAAGUGCUGGGCUGCCACACAUCUCUGUGUGCCAUGGACCAGGGUCUGGUGGCUGCCCUCAGUUAACACAAGCAUGGUUUUCUUGCUAGUUGAAACUCUGCAAUCCAAAGCAAGUUGUAUUGGGGCAAGAAAAGCUUUGAAGUUUCUCCUUUCCAACACAGAGGUAUUUUCUCAGGAUAGGUCCUCUGUAAGAUGGCUAAGGAUCUGUUGAUAGCCUGACCAGCUCCAGUAGCAGCUCAAUGGUCCCUUAGCACACUUCUUUCUUCUCUGUGCUGACCCGUGGCAUGACCCCACCAGUAUUCCAUGUGCACUGAUGCCCACCAAAGGCCUUUUCCAGCACAUCAAUCAACUGCAGUUUAAUCUUGAGAACACACUAAAAGUCCCAUGUGGACACAAUAAGUUUGGUAUCAAAUGAGUUUUUUCUAGCUUGACUGAAACGUUUCAUUUUAUUUCUGGAGCUGCAAAUGUCUGGACAGCAGGUUUAAAGCAUGCAUUGAUGCCCUCUGUGCUGAAAGGGAGCCACCACAGCAGAUCCAGAGGUGGGUUCCUGGUAGGGACCAAGGUGAGAACUCCUCCUCUUAGCUCCCAAAGCAGAGGGCUGCAGGGGUGAGAUCUCUCUUUGGCGAGGGUACUGCUGGGGUGGUAUCAGCAUGGGGCUGGCCAGGAGCUGCUCUGCUCUGCCCUGAGCCCAGGGGGGUCUGGCACAGGGCCUCUGGAGGAGGCAGGGGCUGGUGUUUUCUGCUGGGGCACCAGGCAGAGGCUCAGCCCAUCACUUGCAGGUGAUGGGUGUGAUGGGCUCUGCGGGAUGCGGAGCUUUAGGUGAAGUCCAGGUCCAACAGUGUGUGUGAACACAGAGUCAGCAACACUGCUGCGCCAAGGGACCUGGGCUGCUGCUGCUCCGGACAGGAAUUGGAGCUGGAAAUGCAGAUAAUUUUGUAUAUCUCCUUUUAGCAUGUGACUCUACACUCAGACAUUGUACCUGGCGCACCGAUGUUGUUUUUCUUCGCCUCUGGCACAGUCUGACAAAAUCUUUUGGCCUGGAGACAGGACUUCUGCUCCUUGGUACCGCCUGCCUGGAAGUGCGACCAGGUCCCAAGGCUAAACCUCUCUACAUAUCCUCUUUGCAUUCUUUAGGAAAGCAGCUGGAGAAUGUUUACACACUGCAGACAGAAUGUACAACUCCGAUCGAGGAACCACAAUCCGGUUCAACUGCAUGGCAAGUUCUUGGCCAUCAAAUCUGGCAUGCAUCACAGAGGCCCCGUCUGUGGACAGACCCACUGGCAUCUGUCAUCACUUCGGAUCACGUCUUGAAAAGAAAUAAACGAUGACGCCAUUUCUUGUUCAUAUCAGACACAGCUGUCAUUAGAUUUGUUAUUUCCAGGGGAUUCUUGAUCAUGCCAUUAAAAGCCUGUCUACCUUUU